AAGCUCCAUGGUGACGGGACAGCGCGUCCGUGAGUGACAGCUGUCAACAUUUGGCAGUGUUCGAGAAUUGGUUCUUACUCUACUACAGGGAAAGGAGCUAGCUGUUUGCAGAGAGAAGAGGCUGCUUAGCCUCGUGAGCUACCAUAGCUGGAUGCAGGAGGGAGACAAUCUCUAGUCGAAGAGACGCAAUCUGCAGCCAUCUAAUAAAUCUGGGACAUUCAUCCUGGUAUGACCAGGCGGAAGAAAAUUCAUCGUACCAGGUUUUACUGCUGGAGGUGGAUUUAAGAAACUCUUAAAACUGAAGAAAUCUGGAGACAAUCAUUCAAAGUUACUACUCAGCGAAGCAGGGAUACAGGAACCCAUUGGAAGCUAGGAGCCACUGAGGAUUGUUUGCUCUAAGGACUGUAAUUCUGAGGAGAGUGUGAUGUAUGCUGAGUACAAAAAGGGGAAUGGCCCUCUCUAGUUUAAAGUACAAAAAGCAAAUAGUGUUUAGUCA